rnacentral:rRNA from 1 species
AGAGUUUGAUCCUGGCUCAGAGCGAACGCUGGCGGCGUGCUUAACACAUGCAAGUCGAACGCGCAGCAGUUUGUAGCAAUACAGAUUGUGGGCGCGUGGCGAACGGGUGCGUAACACGUGGAUAACCUUCCUUCAGGUGGGGAAUAACCCAGUGAAAAUUGGGCUAAUACCGCAUAACAUGACGAUGGCUCAUGCCGUUGUCUUCAAAGGCGCAAGUCGCCAGAAGAGGGAUCCGCGGCCGAUUAGCUAGUUGGCGAGGUAAUGGCUCACCAAGGCUUUGAUCGGUAGCCGGACUGAGAGGUUGGCCGGCCACACUGGAACUGAGACACGGUCCAGACUCCUACGGGAGGCAGCAGUGGGGAAUCUUGCACAAUGGACGAAAGUCUGAUGCAGCAACGCCGCGUGGGGGAUGAAGCUUUUCGGAGUGUAAACCCCUUUCGACCCG